rnacentral:rRNA from 1 species
GACCCCAUAUCUAUUUGAUUUCGGCGAGUAUCAGUCGCUUAUGGGAUCGAGCCUUGGGUUUGGUCCUUCUGAUACUUGCCUUGUGCAGCAUAACGUGAGGUGUUCGUUCAUUCGUCUGGCGGAGUUAUGCGACCGCAGCUCUGGUGUCUUCGGAUGCUGUGCAACAGAUGGAUUCUGCAGUCGAGCUUCGGCUUGGUUGUGGUUCGGCGAACUUCAAGUGUAGUGGCUUCGACUACCGCCUCGCAACCUUUGCUGGCUAUAUACCGUCCGUUGGCGAUGGAAGCCUCAAUGACUUCGGGCCUUCCCUUCCGGGUUGGCUUGGAGCGGCAAAACCCCUUUCCUUUCACUUAACUAAUUUUUGGCUUGUUCGAGAGAACAUAUCUUACUACCCGUUGGGAUGGAUCGGUCGAUUCGCAUAUCGAUGAACAACGGAGCUAGCUCCGUUAUUUACCACGAAUUGCAGACGCUUUGAGUGGUGAAACUUGGAACGCAUAGCGCCGUCGGGUUUUUCCCGUCGGCACGUCUGGUUCAGGGUUGUUUUCUUAACUGUCGACACUUCGGUGCUGGCUUGUCGAGGGGCUAUGUGCUUCGGUACGUACCCUCUCUAGUCAAGAAAGUAAAGCAACAUGAGUCUUCGGACUCGCUAUAGGUGUGCUCGUGAACGUGCAUUGCCGUCGGCUUCAACCGCUUCAAAUGGUGAAGAGUCGUCGGUCGCUUAUGAUGCCGUUCUGAGCUUGCGCCUUGUCUUAGCAACCUGAGCUCAGUCGUGAUUACCCGCUGAACUAACAUAAUGAAUAUAA